ACCCCUGAAACUCUUUUUGCAAUAUUGUCCAAGCUUCUUUUGCAGUAGUUACAGCAAUGAUUCUUGAGAAAAUGGACUUGUGGACUACUUGUUGAAUGAAAAACAGUGUCUUGGAAUCCUUCUUUCUAUUUUCUCUCAACUUUGCUUCUUCAUCUGGAUCUGCAUAUCCAUUCUCAACCAAAUCCCAAAGGUCUUGUGACAUAAAUAAAGUCUUCAUUUUAAUGCUCCAAACUUCAUAACAUUCACUUUUAAAGAUAGGAAUUGAGGGUUGAGAAAUGCUUACAGAAUUUUCAAAAGCUGCCAUGUUGCUACCCAACAGCUUACCUCCUCACAACAAUAUUAGCCAUGAAUUUGACUUACAAGUCUUCAAGUUGCAACAGCAC
rnacentral:lncRNA from 1 species